UACGUAGGCAGCAAGCGUUGUUCGGAGUUACUGGGCGUAAAGGGUGUGUAGGUGGCUUUCUAAGUUUGGUGUGAAAUCUCCCGGCUCAACCGGGAGGGUGCGCUGAAGACUGGGAGGCUAGAGUAUGGGAUGGGAAAGUGGAAUUCCUGGUGUAGCGGUGAAAUGCGUAGAUAUCAGGAGGAACACCUGCGGUGUAGACGGCUUUCUGGACCAUUACUGACACUGAGACACGAAAGCGUGGGUAGCAAACAGG
rnacentral:rRNA from 1 species